rnacentral:tRNA from 1 species
GAGAGAGGCUUGCCAGCAACAAAGACUGCUAAUCUUUGUGCCCUCGGUUGAAUCCCGAAGCUCCCUCGCAUGCU